CCCCCUUUCACGCGCAGCCCUGGCCACCGAGGGGCGGGAGCUCCAGGUGGCCCGCGAGCCCCCCUGGGGCGAGUGCGGGGGUGAACCGAGAGCACCCACCAGCAUCUCUUUGCUGGAGGGCGGGCCCUAGUCGGAGCCACACAGCAUUGCGCGACAGAAUCCCACCGCUGGGGUUCUGCUCCUCGUGGAGCCAGGCCUUGGGAAGCACGGGGGUGUCCCUCGGCCACUCGCUCGGCUGGCGUGCACACGGGUGGAUAGUUCACGCCCGCCUCGGGAUACGGACGUGUGGAUCUGGAUUUCGGACCUGGACAGACGCGUCCGGGAAUACUCACAGGGUAGCAGAGAGCACCUGACUGCCCUGGUACAGGAAGCCACUCACCCCGGUCCGCUGGUGACACAGACAGCCGUGCUGCCCAGGACCCAGAAAACCUCACCUUGUGGCACAGAAGGGUUGCACUCUGUCACCCAGGUUGGAGUACAAUGGCACCACGCCACUCAGCUUACUGCAGCCUCUGCCUGCUGGGCUCAAGCAAUCCUCCCACCUUAGUCUCCUGAGUAGCUGGGACUACAAGCACACACCACCACACCUGGCUAUGUUUUUUUGUUGUUGUUUCCUUUUUUUUUUUUUUUUUUUGUAAAGACGCGGUUUCGCCGUGUUGCUCAGGCUGGUCUCUAAUUCCUGGGCUCAAGUGAUCUGCCCACCUCGCCUUCCAAAGUGCUCUGAUUACAGGCGUGAGUCACUAUGCCCAGCCAAAAAAAAAUUUUUUUUAAUAAAUGUAGAUUUUGGUGUUGCCUCCUGG
rnacentral:lncRNA from 10 species